UAAACGAGUAUCAUCUCGUUGCUCUCGUAGCAGUAACCGAUGAGGGAAACAAGAUGGACAUGACGAAGUUUAGAGAGCAUUUCGAUCUCGUUCAUGAACUCGUUCAGACCUUGCUGAGAACCCGGUUUGAGCCUUUUGAUAGCGACAGGUGUUGAGCCGUCGUCGAUGUAGCCUUUGUACACGUCGCCGAAGCCUCCCGCUCCAAUGACGAAGAGUUUGUCGAAGUUAUUUGUCGCGGCCCUGAUUUCUGCGAUUGAGAAAUGACGGCAGAGGUUGGUUGGCAGCGAUGAUGAUGAGCCUCCCCCGCGAGAAGUUCCAUCUUUUUGGUUUUUGUAAACAACAACGUUCUGCUUGCAUUUGGUGAUGAAAAAAACGACUAUAAAGGAGAGUAAAACGACACCAAAAACUGCACCUGCGAUGGCUGCAAUUAGGGGUCUGGUGGUGCCGCUACUUUUCUGCUCUGGUAUUUGCUUAUCGAGGGUUUUUGGAAGAGGAUCUGGGUUGGGUUCAGCGAGACUACCUGUUGUGUCGUUGAUUUUGAAGAGUUCAAUUGCAUUAAGUUGUGCAUCCUGGAUGAAGCUUUUAGGAUGAGGAUGCAUUUCCAGUGAAAGAUAUACCUUUUCCCUAUUCCCUGGAAUGUAAACUGCGUAGUCUUUAACCACUGGUACACCCUUCUGGUUGUCGCUCCACAUGAGAAUGUCUGCACCUCCUUCAGCCAUCAGUUUCUGAAUGAAGAUGUAGAAUAUUUGGUUUCCAGGGUCUUGAACCUCCGGGUUGAGCUGACAAAAGUGUAACCUUAGCAAGUAGAAGAAGCCAGAAUAAACCGGAAACUGCCAUGUCAGGUUCUUAAAGGGAUUCAAUCCAAUAUUCCUUACGGUUCGGUAUACUUGGUCGGGUGCCGUGUAGUUAGGAGUCUUAACGAAGCUGAGAUUAGUUUUCUUGAUAAAAUCAACAGAUGUUCCACUGUCAGUAAUUAGGUAUUUAUCAUCCGUAUCCCAGGCCCUGAGCAUGCCAGUGUCCUGCGAAGGGGAGAUUUGUGCUCCUCCAACAUUCAACCGGUGCUUCGUCUCCAGAGAAACGUUGUUUGUAAUGAUAUAUACUUGGUUCAUUUGACCAACAAGUUGUGGCAAUCCAAUGAAGUCGUCAAGAACGGUGUAGUUAGGGUUGGAGUAGUAGAGAUAAGAGGGCAUUGAAACAAUCUCGAUUCCAUUAAUGAAAGCGUACGAAUCCGUGGUGGUUGGAGUGAAGGUUAUGUUGAGGCUCUCACCAUGUUGGAGGUAGAUGCAAUACUCUCUGAACAAGGUGUCGUGGUGGCCAGGGUCGUCGUCAGUAUCAGCAUAGAGGGAAGCAUUGAAAUGUUGAAGGAGGGUGUAUGGGCCUGCUUGGACUGAGAAAUAGGCUUUGGAGCGGUCAAACAUUUGGUAUGAAGUUGAGUAGAAGAAGAGACGAAGGAAGAAGGGGCCUUGUGUGGUGACGGGGAAGGAGUAGGUGAAUUGGGAAUAAGAGAGGCGAGCAUAAGUGUAAGGGCCCUGUGUUGUUGAUUGUAUCUGUGCAGGAGCAGCAACUGAGUCCUUGCUUUCGGAGAGGAAUUUGGUAUUGCUAUCUCCAGUCCAGUUCCGACCAUCGACACUGAAGUUUAUGUCGGAGCCACAGUUUACGGUGAAAUGCUCAACGGGACGGUAAAUAACGUCUGCUGUGGAAAGGUAAGGGUGGCACAACAAGAGGAGGAAGAGGAUGGUCGCCAUGCAUGUUGUGUCCAUUGAUAAACUGUAAGGGAAGCUCACACAGACCUCAAACACUAGAAAUGGAGGAAUUAACUUGUUUAUUAAUCAGAUUUCUGUAUAUUAUUCUCUGAGCAAGCAUAUAAGACUUUAAUGCACCGGGUUCCAUCGCUAUAUGUAUUUAUUAUUAUUUGUGGAAAUUUCAGCCUCCGCAAAAAUAUCUUGAGUGAUUUUUGUUUAUGUUUUUUAAAAAUCAAUAUUAAAGAUGAUAUGUUAUAAAUAGUCAUUUUAACAUUUUUAUUUUUGUAUUAACAUUUAAAAUUAUUUGAUGAGUUUAACGACAUAUUGUUCUGUAAAUGUUUUUAUAGGAAAUCACUGCAUUGUAUUAAGAAAAGAUGAAUGAAUAUAGUUGAUCUCCCAAGAUUCUGGCAAUUGAAAACUGAACUGCAGAUUCCAAAAAUGGUCCUAACAGUGUUAUGCCCCACUGCACAUGGGAAGGAGGAAUUAUUGAGGUGGAGAGUUAGGUUAGAAAGUGUUAUUAUUUUGCAACUGCCACCAUAAUGUAGUGCAGCUGUAAUCUUGGAAGUGGUAUAUGUAUAUAUUAAAGGUGGAUAGUGGAUGUCCAUUGGUGUGUAGAAGUGAUGAGCAGCAUGAAGAAGCUAUCAUCAACCCCUUUCUUGAUAUGGGUUAUGGUGAUUACGCUGCAUGCACAUCUUAGCAUUGCAGCUGUGUCCAACGCCAAUGACUCCACCCCUCUGUGUGAUGGCUCCCUACAAGACUGCCUCAUCUUCCAUCAAUUGGACUCAGAAUUUCCCACUAUCACCACUACAAUGGUUGCUAAAUCCAGUUUAGUGACCCCUAGCAAUGUUUUUAAUCCACGUAAGCCAGCCAUCCGUUGUAGGAUCAUUAACAAUGGUUAUCGUUUCUGUUCGAACUUACAAGCACCAGAUCGGGUUAAAAUUAAUCCAGAAAGGUGUUCGCCCUACAAAAGGACUUGCCCAAGAUGAAUAUCUAAGAUUGUGAUCUUGUUGGUCAUGCUAUAUAUGUAUGUAUUCUCAUGCUUUGGCUUCUUCACUCUACUGUUAUAAAUGUCUUAUUAGUUAGCAUGUUUUUGUUACUGCAAGAACAAAUUUCAGGGAAGAUAGACAUUGUCAACAUAUCUGUGAGCUUUUCUGCAUUCAAUUUAUUGAAGUCAGUGUGUGUCUAUAUAUAAAAUAUGGACUGCUGUUUCAACUUCUAUCUCUCAAUCUGUACGAGGAUAAGUUUAAUAGUGGAUAUUUAUACAAGGAAAUCUAUGAAUUAAUUUAACUUUAAAAAAAAUUGACUUGUUUUAUUUUUAUUUGAUUUAUGUAUGUUGUUCUGGAUUUUAAAAAUCAUAAAAAAUAUUUAUUUUACAUAUGAGAAUUGAAAAGAAAAAAUAAAGAAAAUGUAUAUUGAAAAUAGGAUGUGUAAAGUAAGUAAUACACAAAUUUAUUUAGAAUGACACUCCAAUUUAAUUUAUGAUAAUCAAUUUGCAGCACAUAAAUAUGUUUAAAAAAAUAAAAUAUAGGAGAGUUAAACCAAACACGAUUUACAUAUUAUGGAUACAAAUUGUUAUUCAAAAGUUUAUUUUGAAAAUUUUAUAAAAUAUUGCGUACGGAAUUUUUGUUGGAAAUCAUUAAAUCAAACAUAAUUUUUAUUUUUCAGAAACACGAUAUAAGAAUUCAAGCAAAGCCUUAUAUUUAAAUGAAAUUUAUAUUUAAAAAUAAAAAUAGAAAAAAAUAGACUAUAUGUUUUCUCAAAUAAAAAAUUAUAUUAAAAAAUACAAAUAGAGAUUGAAAAAAACACAAGUAACAUUUUGUCUUUUCACUCUCGUACCAUCUUCUUUUCCAACAUGUUCAAUUCUAUUAUCAAUAUGAGUAAUGUGACUAUGAGUCCUUGGUUUGGAAAGACAAGUGAAUUUCUAGGCAUCUCCGAUUGUGGAAAAUUCGAAGUGGGAGUGAAUAACUCCUAUUUGGGUGGGGACGUAUCAUAAUCUAAGGCAUUCUCGAAAGGAAACAUGUUUGUAAAAUCAUUCUCCUCUCACCUAGUUUAUCAGAAGCAAGGUGACCCAAGAGUGACCUUGCAUUAGCCCCACCAGGAGCAUCAAUUUCAAUUUCCCAGGGAGGUCUUCCACGAGCUUCUGCUACAAAUCUUUCUUUGGAUACUCUUUACGUUGUUUAGGAAUCGCGAUCCCCUGUUCCCGUUCAUCAGAAGUUGUCUUCUGAGAAGGUUUAUGUUAAGGUCCAAGAAUACGAUCCUGAUCAUGAAUUACCCCGCACUGAGCAAGCUCAUGCUCAAUCAUCUUACAAUGAGAGCAAAAUGGAGAGAGUCAUUCAUAUUUCGCACCAGCUAUAAAGCAAAGUCUAGACAUUCAACCAAGAGGUGGUCGGGAAGAGGGGACAACAUAUAUUAGAUUAUAACACAUGUUUGAGUUUUGGUAGUCUUCAUGGUUGCUGGAACAAAGUCUUUUGUCCCAGCAAAUCUCAAGAAACCAGGAGAUAACUUCAAGGAACCCAUCCUGAGGGUCCAUCGUAUGUCUUCUAAAGAAGCGAACUCAAACUCGUAGAAACCCUUUCCAAGAAGAAUUGUUUUCCACGGUCCAAAAGCCUUCCACACUGCUGCAACUUUUUAAUUAAAUCUAGGUGUGUGAGAGGUUUAUCCCCCUUAGAUAGAAUAAUCUGACCAUGAAGAUGGGUCUUGCAAAGACCAACCAAGUAAUUUGCCUCAUCAAUCCGGACAGCAAUCAUGUCUCCUUUAAUACAAGGAGUAGGUAUAUGGGACAAAGGAAUGUCACAUGUAUUUUCCAAAGUCUGAGUAAAAGUCUUCCUUCAGCCUGACAUAGCAAACACUUUCUUAUUAGGGAACACUUCUCGAUCCAUCAAACAAGUCCAUGGGAUUAAGAAACCCGCAAAGCCCUCCGUCAUUCUCAAAGGCUAAGAAGUUGUCAACUAGGCUACGCCAACUGCCACCAUCCCACUAGCCGCACCACCUAAAAAUCUUGACUCUACCACAAAUGUUGAUAAAAAUUGUGACUUUACCACAAAUUUCAAUAAAAAUCGUGACUUUACUACAAAUUAAAACUGGUUACAUGAAAAACGUGUCAACUUUGGUUGUGGGCAAUAGAAUUUCUAAGAAGAAAUUUAAGGAAAGAAUACACCUUGAAAGCAAACGUAUAGAGUCGCCGCAUCACCACCAACGUCUCGGUAGACUACUGCGCCGCCACCGACCAGCAUCCACAACCCAUGCGCCACCACCGUCCACCACUAAGCUGGGGAAUGAACAAUCACCCACACAAACCCUAGUCACACCAAAACCCUUCAUAUAACAAAGCAAAAAUCUCUAGAAAAGAUAAUUGAUUACACACAAAUAUAAGAAAUUACUUUGCAAAUAAAGACUAUCCAUUAAUAUUAAUUUAAAAAAUAAAAAAUAAUUUUACUUUUUAAGUAAUUCAUAUUAAAUAAUAAAAUGUUCCUUUGUAUUAAUAAAUAAAAUAUAUUAAAUAAAGAUAAAAUAAAAAAAAUUGUGUAAAAAAAAAGGGUUAUAAGAAGGAAACCUCUAAUUUAAUUUAAUAUUAUAGCUAUGUUGUUAUCCUAAAAUCACCGUGUUUUAACAAAUUUAUUAUUUUAAAAAAGUAAACCAUUAUUAUAAUGAUCAUAUUAUUUUUAAAAAUAAAUAAAAUUAUAUAUUUUUAUAUUUUAAAUUGAUUUAAUUCAUUAAAAAUAAUAAAUUUAUUUUAAUUUAUUUAACUAAAUAAUAUAUUAAAAUAUUUGCCGGAAACUAUUAUAAUUAAAAUAAUAUCUACAAAUUCAUAACAAAAUUAAAAAUUAUAUACAUUUAUAGCGUAAAUUAUUCAUAAAAAAAAAAAAAAAUUAUUUAAUUAAAUAACUAAUUAUACAAGAACGAGUAAAGUUCUAGUUCUUAUCCCUGUUUACGCCCCUCUUUAUAACUAAUUAAAUAUAUAUAUAUAUAUAUAUAUAUAUAUAUAUUUAUUUAUUUCUUAUUACGUGUUUUUUUUAUUGUACAUACUAUGUUCAAUGACAAGUUUUAUUUUUUAAAAAAUAAAGUAUUGAAAAAUACUGUCAUAAUAGUAAUAGAUUUGUUGAUAACUAUUUUAAGAAUAAUAUCAAUUGUAAUUUCUAACAUAUAAAAAAAUUUACAUUAAUGAUAAAUAUAAAUAUUAGACACUUAUUUAACAUGAAGUUUUUAUUUUAUCAAGAAUGAAUGAAAUAAAAAAAAAAAUAGAAUACUUCAGGUACCCAUAUAAAAAAUGAAAAGGUUCACACCCAUGAAUUAUAACAAAACAAAACAAAACAUUCUAAGGCCAACUUAACAUGAAGUGUUAUUAACAAUUAUUAAUUUUUUGUAACCUCAUCAUAUUUAGUCUCAUAACCAUAUUUAAAUAUGAAAAAUAUUUUCUCUUUAUCAUAUCACGCUGUAUAUUGAAACUGGGAGUGAAUUUGAAUAGUGGUUGAAGCUCAUCGUCCCUUUGGAUCCUUAAUCUCUGAGAAAACGUCACCAGGGAUCAACACAGACGAUUCCUUGCUCCUCCAGCUGCUAUUAUCUCCAUCGGUGCUCUUACUAUAAUCUCCACCAUGUUGGCUACACUCAUCCCUGCUCGAUACCUCCUCACCAACACCACUAUUCUGAAGCUGCAGAACCAACUCCAGCAUCCCAAUCACGUCUUUCAUGGAGGGUCUCUCGGCCCCAUCCUCCUGCAAGCAGCUCAGCGCAAUAUCACCAAAUUGGUGCAAACAGUGAGCUGCUAUGUGGCCCUUCAAUGAAGGAUCCACAAUCUCACACAGACAUCCCUUCUCAUAGCAAUGCUUCGCCCAUUUAACAACUGAGAUCCGUUGCUUCUCCUCCCAGUGGACCAGAGGUUGUCUCCCACACAAUACUUCCAAGAGCACUACGCCAAACGAGUACACGUCAGACUUCUCCGUCAAACGCUGUCGUUUGUAGUACUCCGGGUCUAAGUAUCCUAUGCUACCUUUCACCUGAGUGUUCACAUGACUCAUCGAAAUACCUGUGGGCCCAAUUCUGGAUAAACCGAAGUCUGAAACCUUGGCCACCCAUUUUUCAUCCAACAAGAUAUUGCUGCUCUUCACGUCACGGUGAAUGAUCACCUGCUUCACACCUGUAUGCAGGUAAUGCAAUCCUCGUGCAACACCUAUGCAUAUUUCGACCCUUUGCUUCCACGGCAGGGACGGGUUAUCGGUGUAGUAGAGAUGGUCACGGAGGGUUCCACGAUCCAUGAAAUGGUAAACGAGUAUCAUCUCGUUGCUCUCGUAGCAGUAACCGAUGAGAGAAACAAGAUGGAGAUGACGAAGUUGAGAGAGCAUUUCGAUCUCGUUCAUGAACUCUUUCAAACCUUGCUGAGAAUCCGAUUUGAGCCUUUUGAUUGCCACAGGUGUUGAACCGUCGUCGAUGUAGCCUUUGUACACGUUGCCGAAGCCUCCCACUCCAACGACGAAGAGUUCGUCGAAGUUGUUUGUGGCGGCCCUGAUUUCUGCGAUUGAGAAGUGACGGCAGAGAUUGGUUGGUAGCGAUGAUG
rnacentral:lncRNA from 1 species